AUUGAACGCUGGCGGCAGGCCUAACACAUGCAAGUCGAGCGGAUGAAGGGAGCUUGCUCCUGGAUUCAGCGGCGGACGGGUGAGUAAUGCCUAGGAAUCUGCCUGGUAGUGGGGGAUAACGUCCGGAAACGGGCGCUAAUACCGCAUACGUCCUGAGGGAGAAAGUGGGGGAUCUUCGGACCUCACGCUAUCAGAUGAGCCUAGGUCGGAUUAGCUAGUUGGUGGGGUAAAGGCCUACCAAGGCGACGAUCCGUAACUGGUCUGAGAGGAUGAUCAGUCACACUAGAACUGGGACACGGUCCAGGCUACUGCGGGACGCAGCAGUGGGGAAUAUUGGGCAAUGGGCGAAAGCCUGAUCCAGCCAUGCCGCGUGUGUGAAGAAGGUCUUCGGAUUGUAAAGCACUUUAAGUUGGGAGAAAGGGCAGUAAGUUAAUACCUUGCUGUUUUGACGUUACCAACAGAAUAAGCACCGGCUAACUUCGUG
rnacentral:rRNA from 1 species